rnacentral:rRNA from 1 species
UACAGAGGUCCCGAGCGUUGUUCGGAUUCACUGGGCGUAAAGGGUGCGUAGGUGGCAGGGUAAGUCGGAUGUGAAAGCUCGGAGCUCAACUCCGAUAUGGCAUUGGAAACUACCCAGCUCGAGGGUUGGAGGGGGGACUGGAAUGCUUGGUGUAGCAGUGAAAUGCGUAGAUAUCAAGCGGAACACCAGUGGCGAAGGCGAGUCCCUGGACAACUCCUGACACUGAGGCACGAAAGCUAGGGGAGCAAACAGG